GGAGUCUGCACCAUGGCCUGGACCCCACUCCUCCUCCUCCUCCUCCCUCUCCUCCUCCACCGCACAGGGUCUCUCUCCCAGCCUGUGCUGACUCAAUCAUCCUCUGCCUCUGCUUCCCUGGGAUCCUCGGUCAAGCUCACCUGCACUCUGAGCAGUGGGCACAGUAGCUACAUCAUCGCAUGGCAGCAGCAGCAGCCAGGGAAGGCCCCUCGGUACUUGAUGAGGCUUGAAGGUAGUGGAAGCUACAACAAGGGGAACGGAAUUCCUGAUCGCUUCUCAGGCUCCAGCUCUGGGGCUGACCGCUACCUCACCAUCUCCAACCUCCAGUCUGAGGAUGAGGCUGAUUAUUACUGUCAGACCUGGGACAGUAACACUCACACAGUGAUACAGGCAGAUGAGGAAGUGGGACAAAAUCCUCAACCUGCUCAGGCUAUUGUUUAGUGACAGUUUUUAAUUUUAAAACAUUUUCUGUAUGUAAAAAAUCUAUCUGGAUGCAUCCUCUGAUUUAGAACAAUUUUACUCACAAUUUCCCAUUUAAUGUUUCAGAAGUCUCAGAAGAAAUUAAAACAUAAACAAGAACAUAAGCCUCCUGAUGACUCUGAGAUGUUGUCUGCUUAUCCUUAUGGGCUGAUACCAAAGUCUGUGAAGCUCACCUUUUCUCUUGAAAGAAAAAAAGAAUGAGCCUUCCCUUGA